rnacentral:sRNA from 1 species
UCCCUCCCCCGGAAGUAGGGCCUGAUGUAAACACCCGAGCCGGGCUCCAAGGCCCGGGAGGUCAGAAAACCGGGCCGCGGGCGGCACCGACAGCUGGGGCCCGGGUCAGGGACACGCGGAGGUCAGGCCGGUGAAGGCGGCAGGAAGCUGGAGCACGACCCCAGGGGGAACAAUCCUGCACCAUGACUCAACAGCCACUUCGAGGAGUGACCAGCCUGCGUUUCAACCAAGACCAAAGCUGCUUUUGCUGCGCCAUGGAGACAGGUGUGCGCAUCUACAACGUGGAGCCCUUGAUGGAGAAGGGGCAUCUGGGUGAGCUGUUGGCAGGGGAGGGGCAAUGGGCAGAAGAGCUGGGCUGGGCAUUGGCUCCCACCUCCACUGACACCCUGGUCCCUGUCCAGACCACGAGCAGGUGGGCAGCAUGGGCUUGGUGGAGAUGCUGCACCGCUCCAACCUUCUGGCCUUGGUGGGCGGUGGUAGUAGUCCCAAGUUCUCAGAGAUCUCAGGUAAGUGCCCUCAUCCUGCCCUUUGGCCCAGAUUUCUCGGAUUCCUGGCCUCCCACAGGCACCCCAAGGUACUGGCAGAUGAAGACGUCAGAGUACUUCAGAGUCACACAGAGAGGAGGCCUACAGCUUGGAAGUCAUGGAUCUUAUAGCUUGAGAAGCUUGGUGCUUUGUUUUCAUUUUAAAAAUGCUGAUUGAGUGCCUCCUGUGUGCCAUGCCCUAGAGCACUUACUGUGAGCCUGGGACUGCCCUAAGCACUUUACGUUUAUUAACUCAUUUAAUCCUCACAGUAACUCUAUGGGGUAGGAAGGAUCAUUAUCCCCAUCUUUACCGAUGAGGAAACUGAGGCCCAGUGCAGUUAAGUGACUCAUCCAAGGUCACACAAGCAAUAGGUUUUAAAAUCUUGGAGCCGUCUUCCCAAUACCCCCUUGGCUUGAGCCUCAAGUGCCAUCUUACUUUAAGGGUUUUUCUUGAUGAUCCCAUCUGAACAAGGCAGGAGUUGCCCUAGGUGAGUCACAGAGCCCUAGGAUUCCUCACGGAAAUCUCCAGGGUGCGUGGACUAGGACCCUGGAGGCAGAAAUAGUUACCAAGGGGAAGUUACAGGCCUGAGUGUGAGUCCCUGUUUGGUUGCUGAUGGGCUCUGAGGUCCUUGGCCA